UAGCUAUAUAGUCUUAUAUAUAUAGUCUUCUCUGCUCGCCAACGUGUGGAUCAGAAAACAUGCAGAAAAUGCCUGUAAGCUGCAACUUACUCGAAUGCGAAGAAGAGAGCGCAGGUCCCAAUGAUGAGAAACAGCGUCAGGUUAUAAAGAAGCACCGCGACCAGUCUCUGUGAAGCACAGCUGGAGAGUGGACCUUGACCGACUGACAUUCAUGCCGUUUAGAGUGACCAGCUUUAUCUCACCGGACUCCGUCUGUCCUCAGAGCGCAAACCUGGAUUGUGAAUGGGAGCAGUGAAACACGCCUAGAGUGCCAUGGCUCAUCUUAAAGGGCCAGUCAUGUACAGUAGACAUCCAGGAACAAAGGAAGACUGUCCAGCAUUCAUUUCCAUUUUAUCACUAAAACACACCUAUAUUUAAAACAA